AUGCAGAUGACGCCAGUGGAUCCGCUCGAGCUUCCAAAGAGCUGGUUGAGGCGGGGCCCUCAGCCCUUCCCAGGGGCUCGGGACCCCGCGACCGCCUUGCAGGGGGAGCCCCGACGGCCCCCCGAGGCCUGGUUCGCUCGUGGCGGCGGCGAAGCCCGUGGCCGCUGCACCCAGCAGCCCGUUAGUGUUGGCUCCCACUCCUUUCUCAUCCACAACGGAAUGCCAUCUCAUGUAAAAUGUGGAAAUAUAAGGUAGACGCAGGAAGACCAGACACAGGUAGAUGAUGACUCUGUUAACACAGAAUU
rnacentral:lncRNA from 1 species